rnacentral:rRNA from 1 species
AUGGCGCUGAGGACGGCGCUCCCGGCGCUCCCCCGGGCCUUCGCGUGCCGCCAGCGGCUGGCCACGCGCGCCUCGUCGGCCCGGGUGGAGGAGCAUGACGUCGAUCGCCCCAACACCCGGAGCGCCCGCCGGGCGUUCGACGGAAGUCCCGACCGGGACGCCGCGGCGGGGGGAAGCUCCGGCUCCAGCCGGGACGCCCUCGUCGAAUGCGCGCGGCGCGGGAUGGGGCGGGAGGCGCUGGGCCAUUUCUCGGCCGCGCGGCGCCACGGCGGCGAACGCGUCGACGGCGCCAUGCUGUCCUGCGCGCUCAAGGCGUGCGGGGCGAUGCCGGGCUGCUGCAGGGCCGCCGGGGAGCAGCUGCAUUGCCUGUGCGUCAAGUGCGGGCUCGACCGGGCCGACGUCGGCGUCGGCACGGCCCUCGUCGACGUGUACACGAAGUGCGGCGGCGUGGAGGAUGCCAGGCUGGUGUUCGAGGGGAUGCCGCAGAGGAACGUCGGCACGUGGACGUCGUUGCUCACCGGUUACGCCCAGGGCGGCGCGCACUCGGACGCCAUGGCGCUCUUCUUCAGGAUGCGCGCCGAGGGGAUAUGGCCGAACCCGUUCACGUUCACGAGCGUCCUCUCCGCGGUGGCGGGCCAGGGCGCGCUCGACCUUGGGCGGCGCGUGCAUGCUCAGUCGGUGAAGUUCGGAUGCCGCUCGACAGUUUUCGUGUGUAAUUCCCUGAUGAACAUGUACGCGAAGUGCGGACUGGUUGAAGAAGCCAAGGCUGUGUUCUGUGGGAUGGAGACCAGGGACAUGGUGUCGUGGAACACGUUGAUGGCAGGCCUUCUGUUGAACGGGUGUGAGGUGGAGGCCCUGGAGCUGUUCCAUGACUCGCGAGCAAGCAUGGCGAAGCUGUCACAGUCGACCUACUCGACGGUGAUCAAGCUAUGUGCAAACCUCAAACAGUUGGCCCUGGCACGGCAGCUCCACAGCUGUGUGCUAAAACAUGGGUUCAGUUCAGAUGGCAAUGUCAUGACAGCCAUUAUGGAUGCCUACAGCAAGUGCGGCGAACUGGAUGAUGCUUUCAACAUAUUCUUGUUGAUGUCAGGAUCGCAGAGUGUCGUUUCAUGGACUGCUAUGAUAGGCGGGUGCAUUCAGAACGGUGACAUUCCUCUUGCUGCCUCACUCUUUAGCAGAAUGAGAGAAGACAAUGUCAAGCCAAAUGAGUUCACCUACUCGACGAUGCUCACAACAUCACUGCCAGUCUUGCCUCCCCAGAUUCAUGCGCAGAUCAUCAAAACCAACUACCAGCAUGCACCAUCUGUCGGAACUGCACUUCUUGCCUCAUACUCAAAGCUUGGAAGCACUGAAGAAGCCCUCUCUAUAUUUGAAACCAUUGACCAGAAGGACGUUGUUGCAUGGUCUGCAAUGUUGUCGUGCUAUUCCCAAGCUGGCGACUGCGAUGGUGCCACAAAUGUGUUCAUGGAGAUGUCCAUGCAAGGCAUGAAGCCAAAUGAGUUCACUAUCUCUAGUGUCAUCGAUGCAUGUGCUAGUCCCACCGCUGGCGUUGACCAGGGUAGGCAGUUCCACGCUGUUUCGAUCAAAUACAGAUACCAGGACGCUAUCUGCGUGGGCAGCGCACUUGUCAGCAUGUAUGCAAGAAAAGGGAGCAUUGACAGUGCUCGAAGUGUCUUUGAGAGGCAGACAGAGAGAGACUUGGUGUCAUGGAACUCGAUGAUAUCAGGGUAUGCGCAGCACGGUUACAGCAAGGAGGCCCUUGAUACAUUCCGUCAGAUGGAAGCUGCGGGCGUCGAGAUGGAUGGUGUCACAUUCCUUGCGGUUAUCAUAGGAUGCACUCAUGCUGGACUUGUACAAGAAGGCCAGCGAUACUUCGAUUCCAUGGUUAGAGACCACAAGAUCAGUCCCACCAUGGAGCAUUAUGCGUGCAUGGUGGAUCUCUACAGCCGCGCAGGCAAGUUGGAUGAAACAAUGGACCUUAUCGGAGGCAUGCCGUUCCCAGCGGGUGCAAUGGUAUGGCGCACACUGCUAGGCGCAUGCAGAGUUCACAAGAAUGUUGAGCUUGGGAAGCUGGCCGCAGAGAAGCUGCUAUCGCUUGAGCCGCUCGAUUCGGCUACAUACGUGCUGCUCUCCAACAUCUAUGCGUCCGCAGGGAAGUGGAAAGAGAGGGAUGAAGUGAGGAAGCUCAUGGAUUCUAAAAAGGUGAAGAAGGAAGCUGGAUCCAGCUGGAUUCAGAUCAAGAACAAGGUCCAUUCCUUUAUAGCCUCCGAUAAAUCGCACCGUCUGUCCGACCAGAUAUACACAAAGCUGAAGGCGAUGACAGCCAGGUUGAAGCAGGAGGGUUACUGCCCGAACACGAGCUUUGUGCUCCAUGACAUGGAACAAGAGCAGAAGGAAGCCAUGCUGGUCACGCACAGUGAGCGGCUGGCUCUUGCCUUCGGUCUGAUAGCUACGCCACCAGGGACGCCCCUUCAGAUUGUCAAAAACCUGCGGGUCUGUGGGGACUGCCAUGUGGUGAUGAAGAUGGUGUCGGCGGUUGAGGACAGGGAGAUCAUCAUGCGAGACUGCAGCAGGUUCCACCACUUCAAAUCUGGUGCCUGCUCUUGUGGUGAUUUCUGGUGA